rnacentral:tRNA from 1 species
GGCGAGAAGGCGGAGUGGCAACGCAGCGGAACCAUGUUAGUCUUGAAAAAGGGUAUGGCGGCAAGCGGACUUUAAAUCCGUGGUCAUUAUGACAUCUAAGUUCGAUUCUUAGUCUCGCCA